AUUGAACGCUGGCGGCAGGCCUAACACAUGCAAGUCGAACGAGUGGGGACGGGUGAGUCACACGUGGGUAACCUCCCCAUCAGAGGGGAUAACACUUGGAAACAUGUGCUAAACCGAUACUGAUGGAUGGACUCACGGUGCAUUAGCUAGUUGGUGAGGUAACGGCUCACCAAGGCCACGAUGCAUAGCCGACCUGAGAGGGUGAUCGGCCACACUGGGACUGAGACACGGCCCAGACUCCUACGGGAGGCAGCAGUAGGGAAUCUUCGGCAAUGGACGAAAGUCUGACCGAGCAACGCCGCGUGAGUGAAGAAGGUUUUCGGAUCGUAAAACUCUGUUGUUAGAGAAGCGGUAUCUAACCAGAAAGCCACGGCUAACUACGUGCCAGCCGCCGCGGUAAUUC
rnacentral:rRNA from 1 species